GAAUGUGGCUGGGUUGGGGGUAAUUCUCAAAAAUUCAGAGGGUGAUUUUGUCUUUUGAGGUCAAUUCCUCCCCCCUCGAUUUUGCUUUAUUUACAACAAAACCGUGGGAUUUGGGGCUGGGUUGAAACGUAGUUAUUAAAAGUUAGGAGGGUAAUUUUGUCCUGUGCAUUUGAGACGGAUUGGGGUGGGUUUGGGUUUGCUGUCAUUCAGUGCAGGUUUCGGGGAUGGCAGGCCAUGCUUCCUCUGAGAGAUGGAUAGAGACAGACGGAGCGAGAGAGAGAGGGAGAGGAAGGAGUGGGGAUCUCAUCACCAUUACUGCAGAUCCUCGAUUUCAUGAGAGUGGGAGAGGGGGGACAGUCAGAGAAAAGCAUGGGGGGCCUUCGGGACUCGCAGACCCCGCGAGAACGACACAGACGGUCUCGCCUCCGUCGUCUUACUCCUCAUUUCUCUGUCUCUGGAAUCGAUCGAUCUAUUCGAAGAGGAUCGACAGUUCUGAAAUGGUAUUUAGAUUGGUAAGGGUUGUGCGUGUGCGGUUGAUGAUCGUGGAAGCCAGCGACGCCCAGAUUGCAACAUCGAAUCCUCUUCGAUCCUUAUUCCCAAUAGCUCUCCCUCUGAUUUGUCAUCAGGUAAGAAGGAACCUACUGGCCUCAGAUUGGAUGAUAAACGUGAAGAAAUCACACUGACCAAACCGAAUUCAACAAUCCCAGAGGUUGAAAACCACUGAGAAGAAAAGAUCUCUCUCUCGAUCUACUUUAAAGUGAUUGAAAAUUGGGUUUGGUGAUUUUUCUGCUGUUUUUGUAUGUUUUAGCUAUUAAUUGCCUUAUAGAGGUUUUUUUGUUGCUGUGAUAUUUGUUGAACUGAAAAGGGUUUGAAGGCUGCUGCUUUACCGUUCGAUUUGCAGAUUCCAUGUUGCAUGUGCUGCUUUAUUGCAAUUUUUUAAAUUCAUGUAUGAGGUACAAGGAAGAUAAACGACUAAAAACCAAGUUGGCCUGCAGGGUUAUCUGUAUUUGUGUUAUAUCGAUAAUUCUAGGACUUAUCAUAUCAUGUUCCUAACUUGAUGCUCUGGGCAUCUUCUCCUACAAUUAAUAGUUGCACCUUAAUUUGAUCGACCAAAUUUGGUGAAACACCAGACAAACAGAAAUCCAUGCAUACAGAGCCAACUGCACUGAAGCAUGAAUUGAAAAAAAAAUAAUGUACAUGAUUAUAAUUCCACUACUUAAUUUGUUCCAAGUCGCCACAAAUUUCAGAAAUCAAACGUGCAAAAUUUCUAUGCAUGUUUUGAAGUUGGUUGUAGGAAGUGGGCUUCCAAGUCUUAACAAUAAUGGAGACUAUGAAAUCAUGGUAAGCAAAUGGGGGUAGCUAUAUAUUUCAAAAACGCAUAUUUUACACACACACACACACACAUUCUGUCAAGAAUCAGUUUUGAUUGGCACAGAUGAAGAUGAAAAAUAAGAGGGUUUUCUAUUCAAAUUUACUUUUUAUAAUUUUAGGGGUUUUGAUCAUACAUGUGUAUUUAAUUUGGUUUUGUUUUCAGUUUCAGGAGACUCUGGUUUUUCGUUUUUUAGGCCUUUUCUUUGCAGCAUAGAAAGCCCUCUGUGCUCAAGGAACCCUGUUUCCCCCUUUUGUCUCUCUGUGCACUCAGAAAACAAGCCACCCUAAUUGAAUCUUUCUAUCUUCAGAUCAUCAGCAAUAAUCUCAUCAAGGUCCCAGGAGGAAUCAUGAGGAUUCACUACCGAAUUGGUAUGUACUUAUGCUUUUGCAAAAAGCCCUUUUCUUGCCUUUUUUCUGUUUUAGAAUUGGGACCAAAAUGAUUAUCAGUGAUUUUGAAAAACACUGAGAUAGAAAAAAUGGCUAUCAAGCAAGCAGGUUGUGAGUAUUCAAACAUAUAAUUUUCAGUCAAAUGAAAUAGUUGGUACCACAAGCUUUUAAGUAGGGAGGGAUGUUUGAUUAUAUAUUUAAAUUAAGCAAAGAAUCUUGCAUAAAAAAAUGAUCCAAGUUGAAGUAAAUGAAAUAUAUGGUGCAACAACUGUUAGUUUGGUCAGUCUUCAUCACGCUAAUCAAAUGAGCCCGAGGGGUCGAUUUCCACAGUAUAGACUUCGAAGCCCUACAAGGUAAAUAAUUUAGUAUCCUUUGAGGAUUUUGUAUUUGGAGAAUGUUGUUUCCUUUUUUUUUGUGUGUUUUAGGUGGUGUUGCAUAAGUUAGUUUUGUUCUAAGUUGUAAAUGAUUAUGCUUUAUUCGUAUGCAUUCUAUGUUGGUACUGAGGUUUACAAUUUUUUUAUUCUCUCCUCAAUUGUUAUUUUCCUUUUACUGUAUAUUGUAUCUUCUGUUUGGAAAUGCCUCUGUUUUUUUACUUGCUGAGAAUGCCUCUGUCAGGGGUGGCUCAACAGGACCGGGAAAUCUGGAGAGGGGCGAGGGGGUUAGCAGAGGGGGGGAUUGGGAGCAUCAAGGCUAGGUUACCAGGAUGGUGUUUGGGUGGGUUUGGCAGUGGGUCAUAUGGGGGAGGGUAGUGAUGCAUUCCGAACUCACGAAGCUGCACAAACAUUACGAGUACAUCACCAUCAAAAAAUUUCAUAUUUAUUUGUUAUACCCUUAACAGUAAAUAAUUUACAUGUGAAAUCUAGGUAAAAACAUGAUAUCUUUAUAGACAUUGAAAUAAAGACAGCCACAAAUUGUCAUACACUUUCACAGAGUUUUUUUAAACUUAGAAGACACCGGAAACACGAUUCGCAUAGCAGAAUAGCUUACAGAUGAUAUAAUAGUGAGAUAACAAAGUUCUCAACUGAGGGUUCAGAGAGACUCAUUUCUAUGUCCAAUUAUGAAGCAUCUUUUGAUUUUUAUUGAUAUAAAGACCUUUCUUUCUCCAAUUAUGCCUUUGUCAACACUUUUUGGUUUAAAUGUACUCAUUUAGUGCUCACAUUUAUCUGAUAGACCAGAUGAAAAAAGAGGGAAACAUGGAUUAUAUAUGCACGAAGGGCACCACAACAAACGUGUGAAUCUUCCUGCACCACCAGUCUCUGCAACGUUUUCCAAAACCCGCUUGACCGAAGGACAAGGAGUUGGACCCUGGAUCUAACGACUUUCUGGGUUAGUAACUUUUAUAAUAUGCUGAGUUUUUAUUCUAAUGAUUGUUUAUUUUUUAUCGUACUCUCUCUUGAUCUAAGUUAACCCAUAUGCGCACACACAAUCACAAUAAGUUUGGGUUCUGGUUUAGAUAUUUAUAUUUUUGGAUAUUGGAAAUUGUAUUUUCUUUAGAUUAAUCCCAGAGCAUGUAGGUAUUUUUUAAAUUUAUUUACUAAUUUUAACUUUGGCUUUUAAGUUUGAGUUCUGGUUUUUAAUAUUUAUAUUUGUGUACAAUUUGAUGCUAUGAAAGGGUUUGAUGAUUUCAAUGACAACUGUUUCUUUUCCAAAAGAUGAUUGGGAAGCAGUUGCUAAGUGACGAUUCUCCUUAUCCUUUUAGAAGCCUUCUUCACCUGCUAUAACUUCCAUGUUUUGGUUUGUUAUGAAAUGAAUUCCCUUUUACCGUAAAAAAAUAAAAUAAAGGUACAAUGUUAUCAAAUUCGAUUUUUCUAAUCAUUCGAAUGCUGGGAAUGUUGGGGUUUCUUACAGUUAAAUCUUUGCAUGUAUUUUUUUUUCUUUCUAAUUUUCUGAUUUUCAGUUUUAUCUUUUUUUCUUUCUCAAUUAUACCAAGAUAUUGCUUAAUGCAUAGACACAUAAAUGAUUCAAAAAAUGGUUGUACCAAGAGAAAAAAAAUGUUGGAUUGUCUGCAAAGCGCCAAAGCAAAGAGAGGAAUAUAAUGUGUAAAUAUAAUUGGUUAUUCAAAUACAAACUUCUUUGCUUGAUCGCUAGAAUUUCAGUAUAAAUAAGAUUUUAGUUAGAUGUUAUAGAUGAUCAAACUAAAACAAGUCAAUUUGCUAUACAGAAGCUCUACAAAUCAGUCUUCCUUUCUUUUCUAACCCAUCGUCCUUUCAUUUCAUCUUCAUUCUGGAGCCCUCCCUAUUUUCCACAUCUCCUCUCGCACUACCUAAAGCCGAAACCAAACCCACCUAUGCAGGAAUCAAAUCGCAGGUCUCCGACACCCAGAGUGGUGCAUAUCUCGAUUGACAAGGAUGAACAGAAGCGGAUAUAACAAUAGUGAGACCAAUAUGAGAUCCAACGGAAAAAAAAAUAGCGGCAAAGAAGCCGAGGCCUACGGAUACAAAAGGAAAAGUCUUGAAGUGCAGGAAGCAUUGCGGUGUACCAUGUGCAGAUGAUUAGGGAGGGUGCAAUACCAAGUGAAGAAUUACACCUUCAGAAGAGCUCUUGGGUUGUCAAUUGUGACUGGAAAUGUCUUAUUCAUGUGGUUGCAUUCGAGUUCCGCAGCAACGCACGGGCAUCUUUGCUAGUAUAUACUAAUGGAAGAAAUUUGGGCAACUUGUAUACCAUGCAAUGUUAGAGUAAAUGUAGAAAUUUAGAGAAUAAUCCGAAUGAUGACUUUGAGGUACGACUUGAAUCGUUUCCUUAAAGUGUUAUUUAACCCCCUCCCCCCCACUCAAAUGAGUUUGCUAAAGGGUUCUUGGCCAAUCACUUCCAAAAUACAACAAAGUAUGGAAUAUUCGAUUAGCAAAACCGAAUUAUAUUCCAUUAGAAAUAACUAGAAAGUAAUUCUAUGAAUGUGAUGGAGAGAGUAGAGAGCAAGGAAUGUAGAAAUAAAUUUCUGAAAUUGUGUGUGAAACAUUAUGCCACAAUAGGUAUUUAUAGGCAUUAAGGCACCCA